UACGUAGGGUGCAAGCGUUAAUCGGAAUUACUGGGCGUAAAGCGUGCGCAGGCGGUUUUGUAAGUUUGUCGUGAAAGCCCCGGGCUCAACCUGGGAAUUGCGAUGAAGACUGCAAGGCUUGAAUCUGGCAGAGGGGGGUAGAAUUCCGACGUGUAGCAGUGAAAUGCGUGAGAGAUGUGGAGGAACACCGAUGGCGAAGGCAGCCCUCGGUGAAGAUUGACGCUCAU
rnacentral:rRNA from 1 species